rnacentral:rRNA from 1 species
GACGAACGCUGGCGGCGUGCUUAACACAUGCAAGUCGAGCGGCAGCGAGACUAGUAGCAAUACUAGUUGUCGGCGAGCGGCGGACGGGUGAGUAACACGUAGGAAUCUGCCCUUAAGCGGGGGAUAACCAAGGGAAACUUUGGCUAAUACCGCAUAAUCUCGAGAGAGCAAAGCUGCCCGCAAGGGUGGCACCUGAGGAGGAGCCUGCGUCCGAUUAGCUAGUUGGUGGGGUAAUGGCCUACCAAGGCGAUGAUCGGUAACUGGUCUGAGAGGACGACCAGUCAAACUGGGACUGGGACACGGCCCAGACUCCUACGGGAGGCAGCAGUGGGGAAUAUGGGACAAGGGGGGCAACCCUGAUCCAGCGAUGCCGCGUGAGUGAAGAAGGCCUUCGGGUCGUAAAGCUCUUUAGGUUGGGAAGAAGGGUAUUGGCUGAAUAAUCCAGUACUUUGACGGUACCGACAGAAUAAGCACCGGCAAACUCUGUGCCAGCAGCCGCCGUAAAAC